GAUGAACGCUGGCGGCGUGCUUAACACAUGCAAGUCGAACGGAAAGGCCCAAGCUUGCUUGGGUACUCGAGUGGCGAACGGGUGAGUAACACGUGGGUGAUCUGCCCUGCACUUCGGGAUAAGCCUGGGAAACUGGGUCUAAUACUGGAUAGGACCACUUCUUGGAUGUUGUGGUGGAAAGUUUUUUCGGUGUGGGAUGAGCUCGCGGCCUAUCAGCUUGUUGGUGGGGUAAUGGCCUACCAAGGCGUCGACGGGUAGCCGGCCUGAGAGGGUGUACGGCCACAUUGGGCCUGGGUUCCGGCCCGGCCCCCUCCGGGGGGCAGCGGUGGGGAUUAUUGCCAAAUGGGCGCAGGCCUGAUGCAGCGACGCCGGGUGGGGGUUGACGGCCUUCGGUUUGUAACCUCCUUUCGCUAGGACGAAGCGUUUUGUGACGGUACCUGGAGAAGAAGCACCGGCUAACUACGUG
rnacentral:rRNA from 1 species